rnacentral:tRNA from 1 species
GCCCGAUUAGCUCAGUUGGUUAGAGCGUCGUACUAAUACUGGAAACAGCAUAUAGUAAUGCGAAGGUCAACAGUUCAAUCCUGUUAUUGGGCA